CACGUAGGGUGCAAGCGUUGUCCGGAAUUAUUGGGUGUAAAGGGCUCGUAGGCGGUCCGUCACGUCGGGAGUGAAAACUCGGGGCUCAACCCCGAGCCUGCUUCCGAUACGGGCGGACUAGAGGUAGGUAGGGGAGAACGGAAUUCCUGGUGUAGCGGUGGAAUGCGCAGAUAUCAGGAGGAACACCGGUGGCGAAGGCGGUUCUCUGGGCCUUACCUGACGCUGAGGAGCGAAAGCGUGGGGAGCGAACAGG
rnacentral:rRNA from 1 species